UGCGUAGAGAUGUGGAUUAAUUCGAUGCAACGCGAAAAAACCUUACCUACCCUUGACAUGUCAGGAAUCCUGGAGAGAUUCGGGAGUGCUCGCAAGAGAACCUGAACACAGGUGCUGCAUGGCUGUCGUCAGCUCGUGUCGUGAGAUGUUGGGGUUAAGUCCCGCAACGAGCGCAACCCUUGUCAUUAAUUGCCAUCAUUGAGUUGGGCACUUUAAUGAGACUGCCGGUGACAAACCGGAGGAAGGUGGGGAUGACGUCAAGUCCUCAUGGCCCUUAUGGGUAGGGCUUCACACGUCAUACAAUGGUCGGUCCAGAGGGUUGCCAACCCGCGAGGGGGAGCCAAUCUCAGAAAGCCGAUCGUAGUCCGGAUCGCAGUCUGCAACUCGACUGCGUGAAGUCGGAAUCGCUAGUAAUCGCGGAUCAGCAUGUCGCGGUGAAUACGUUCCCGGGUCUUGUAC
rnacentral:rRNA from 1 species